GAUGAAGAACGUAGCGAAAUGCGAUAAGUAAUGUGAAUUGCAGAAUUCAGUGAAUCAUCGAAUCUUUGAACGCACAUUGCGCCCCUUGGUAUUCCGAGGGGCAUGCCUGUUCGAGCGUCAUUUUGACCACUCCCGCUUGCGGGGUCUUGGGCCUUCGCCUCUGGGCGGGCCUUAAAAUCAGUGGCGGUGCCGUCCGGCUCUAAGCGUAGUAAAUCUCCUCGCUAUAGGGUUCCGGAGGGAUGCUGGCCAACAACCCCCAACUUUUAAGGUUGACCUCGGAUCAGGUAGGGAUACCAGCUGAACUUAAGCAUAUCAAUAAGCGGAGGA
rnacentral:misc_RNA from 1 species